GACGAACGCUGGCGGCGUGCUUAACACAUGCAAGUCGAACGGAAAGGCCCUGCUUUUGUGGGGUGCUCGAGUGGCGAACGGGUGAGUAACACGUGAGUAACCUGCCCUUGACUUUGGGAUAACUUCAGGAAACUGGGGCUAAUACCGGAUAGGAGCUCCUGCUGCAUGGUGGGGGUUGGAAAGUUUCGGCGGUUGGGGAUGGACUCGCGGCUUAUCAGCUUGUUGGUGGGGUAGUGGCUUACCAAGGCUUUGACGGGUAGCCGGCCUGAGAGGGUGACCGGCCACAUUGGGACUGAGAUACGGACCAGACUCCUACGGGAGGCAGCAGUGGGGAAUAUUGCACAGUGGGCGGAAGCCUGAUGCAGCAACGCCGCGUGCGGGAUGACGGCCUGCGGGUUGUAAACCGCUUUAGCCUGUGACGAAGCGUGAGUGACGGUAAUGGGUAAAGAAGCACCGGCUAACUACGUG
rnacentral:rRNA from 1 species